rnacentral:rRNA from 1 species
AUUGAACGCUGGCGGCAGGCCUAACACAUGCAAGUCGAACGAGUGGCGGACGGGUGAGUAAUGUCUGGGAAACUGCCUGAUGGAGGGGGAUAACCAAUCGAAAGAUUGGCUAAUACCGCAUAUUAUUCAGCGGCCGAUAACUGAUUAGCUAGUUGGUGGGGUAACGGCCUACCAAGGCGACGAUCAGUAGCGGUCUGAGAGGACGAUCAGCCACAUGGGACUGAGACACGGCACAGACUCCUACGGGAGGCAGCAGUGGGGAAUUUUGGACAAUGGGGGCAACCCUGAUCCAGCCAUGCCGCGUGUAUGAAGAAGGCCUGCGGGUUGUAAAGUACUUUUGGUAGGGAAGCGGUCCCUAAAGAAUAAGCACCGGCGAACUACGUGCCAGCAGCCCGGUAAUAC